rnacentral:rRNA from 1 species
GUGAGUAGUUCAGAGUUUGAUCCUGGCUCAGGACGAACGCUGGCGGCGUGCCUAACACAUGCAAGUCGAGGGGCAACAGGGAACAAGCUUGCUUGUUCUGCUGGCGACCGGCGCACGGGUGAGUAACACGUAUGCAACCUGCCCGUCACGAGGGGAUAACCGGGGGAAACCCCGCCUAAUACCCCAUAUUAUAUAGUUAUUGCAUGAUGAUUAUAUGAAAACCUUGGUGGUGACGGAUGGGCAUGCGGUGCAUUAGCUAGUUGGUGAGGUAACGGCUCACCAAGGCGACGAUGCAUAGGGGUUCUGAGAGGAAGGUCCCCCACACUGGUACUGAGACACGGACCAG